AGAGUUUGAUCAUGGCUCAGAUUGAACGCUGGCGGCAGGCUUAACACAUGCAAGUCGAGCGGAGAUGAGGUGCUUGCACCUUAUCUUAGCGGCGGACGGGUGAGUAAUGCUUAGGAAUCUGCCUAUUAGUGGGGGACAACAUUCCGAAAGGAAUGCUAAUACCGCAUACGUCCUACGGGAGAAAGCAGGGGAUCUUCGGACCUUGCGCUAAUAGAUGAGCCUAAGUCGGAUUAGCUGGUUGGUGGGGUAAAGGCCUACCAAGGCGACGAUCUGUAGCGGGUCUGAGAGGAUGAUCCGCCACACUGGGACUGAGACACGGCCCAGACUCCUACGGGAGGCAGCAGUGGGGAAUAUUGGACAAUGGGGGGAACCCUGAUCCAGCCAUGCCGCGUGUGUGAAGAAGGCCUUAUGGUUGUAAAGCACUUUAAGCGAGGAGGAGGCUACUGAGACUAAUACUCUUGGAUAGUGGACGUUACUCGCAGAACAAGCACCGGCUAACUCUGUGCCAGCAGCCGCGGUAAUACAGAGGGUGCGAGCGUUAAUCGGAUUUACUGGGCGUAAAGCGUGCGUAGGCGGCUUUUUAAGUCGGAUGUGAAAUCCCCGAGCUUAACUUGGGAAUUGCAUUCGAUACUGGGAAGCUAGAGUAUGGGAGAGGAUGGUAGAAUUCCAGGUGUAGCGGUGAAAUGCGUAGAGAUCUGGAGGAAUACCGAUGGCGAAGGCAGCCAUCUGGCCUAAUACUGACGCUGAGGUACGAAAGCAUGGGGAGCAAACAGGAUUAGAUACCCCGGUAGUCCAA
rnacentral:rRNA from 1 species